GCCUUCGACAGCAGCUAGCUUUUUUCUACAACACAAUUAGGGUUUCAGGAUCUUCUUCCCAAAAAUCUCUGGUUCAAGAUGUCUAGGGUUUACAUUGGGAAUUUGGACCCCCGAGUCACUGAACGGGAACUCGAGGAUGAAUUUCGCGUAUUUGGAGUUAUUAGAAGUGUGUGGGUUGCCAGAAGACCCCCUGGUUAUGCUUUCAUUGAUUUCGAUGAUCGCAGGGAUGCCCAAGAUGCAAUUAGGGACCUUGAUGGUAAAAAUGGCUGGAGGGUUGAGCUAUCACACAACUCUAGAGGCGGAGGUGGAGGUGGAGGCGGCCGUGGUGGGGGUCGUGGUGGACGCUCUGGUUCUGAUUUGAAAUGCUAUGAAUGUGGUGAGCCUGGCCAUUUUGCUCGUGAGUGCCGAAUGAGGGGUGGUUCUGGAAGGCGCAGGAGCCGUAGCCCUGCUGCUAGAUAUCGCCGUAGCCCAAGCUAUGGUCGAAGGAGUUUAAGUCCUCGUGCUCGCUCACCUCGUCGUCGCAGUUUGUCUCCAAGGCCUCGCAGCUACAGCAGAUCGCCUCCGCCUUAUCGUGGACGAGAUGAAGUUCCAUAUACCAAUGGAAACGGUAUCCGAGACAGGCGUAGGAGCAGAAGCUGAGCUAGGAUGUUAUAUGCACUUUUGAGUCUCUUCUGAAGUUCUUCAAGUUGUGUUUACUGAGCUUGGACUUAUUUACGUCUUAGUUAAGAUGGGCGACGCCCUUGGGUUUCGACUCCUGGAUUUGGUUGUGUGAUUUCUAUUUAAGUAGUGUCUGCCUGCUACUGCUUCAUUGGUUUUGUACAUCUGCACUUGUGGUUUCGACCUUCUCUGCCCUGCUGUGGGAUCUUCAAUUUGAAUUAUUGUGGAUCCCAGCUGGCUACUCUGCUAGAUGCUACUUUUCAUUGCUUUCUGCGGCUAAGAUGCGUCUCUCCUCAAUAUUUAAUGUUAUGUAGAACUCCACUUGUGGUUUCGACCUUCUCUGCCCUGCUUCAAAUGUGAAUGAUUGUGGAUCCCGUUGUAGAACUUCUCUUGUGCUUUCAACCUGCCCUGCCCUGCUGUGGGAUCUUCAAUUUAAAUGAUUGUGGAUCCCGGCUGGUUACCCUGCUAGAUGCCACUACUUUUAAUUGCUUCUCUGCGGCUAAGAUGCGCCUCUCCUCAAUAAAUACGGUAUUUGAUUAGAUUUAAGGAUGGUGGUCGGCUUCACAUGCUUCUGGCAGGUAUUCAAUCUACUAUGUGGAAGUCGGCAUUUAACUUAAUCCUUAAUACUGCUCUAAAUGAUAGUGCAUCUUUUUAUCAGCAUGAAUUCAUCCCUAAGUAUUUAGUUGAUAUUUCAUGAGUUGGAAGCGAGGAACUAGGUAUAUAUCACCAUCCUUUUUUAACAUAAUUUGGUGUGGGAGAGUCUGAACUUCAACUUAACUUCUUGUGCAUAUUCCUUGCAACCUUUUAUUGACAUAAGAUUUAUAGGUGUUAUGCUGUGAUAAUUGCGUAACGAACCCAUCUCGAGCAUUUGUGUGUAGCGAUUAGGAUUUUGGUUUGUUCUUGUCGAAUUCAUUUGAAUCAGGGCCUGAUGGUAAUGAACUAUCGAGGCAGUUUGUCUUCGUUAAGAUCGUCAUCUACUUUACUUCUGGCCGGAUAGCUCAUCUUCGAAUGCUUUUCAAUUGACAUAAAUUCUUAAUAGGCCUCCAGAAGGCAAAGUUUUCAGCUGUGAAUUUUUAGGUGUUUUGAGGAUUUGAUAGAGGAAUUUGUAUUUUAUACAUAUAAAGUUAAUGAAAUAUACUCUUACAAGA